ACCAUCAGGAGAGAAAGGAACUCACCCUUUUAAUGUUCAAAACCCAUAAACCCUGCCGCUUACCUAAUCCUAAUUUCUUUCACUACUAAAGCCUCCCACGAGACGCACCUCCAUCCGUUGCUAUUGGACUAAGUCUCUUCCUCAAAGCAGUCUUCAGAUUUCAUCAAGUUGGAGUAGCAGUCGACGUUGCAUAGCCAAAAUCCAUCAGCGUCGUCCUGCCGUAUCCACCCUUCAAGCAGUUGCGUCGUGAGAAGCAUCAGCGUCAAUAACCUUCCUCCCGCUGCCUUAUUAAGUGACACUGUUGGUGGUACCAAGUUUAUUAAGAUGCCCAAGAUAGGUCGUUACACGAAGAAAUCAAAGUUAGACGCAGUAUGUUAGCAAACCCAAACAGGAUCAGCUGCAGCUUCAUCCGUGCCCCAAGUGGAUGGCCUAAUUCCCCCCUCUAGUGGUACUGGUGCUACCCCAACCUCAUUUUUAUGCCCCUCUUGACCACAUGGUACCGAACCAUUACCUGCUCCACAGACUUGCACGAAUGGUGCUCAACACUCGGAAUCGCCUGAUGAAGACUUAGACCCAAAGGCAGAUGAGGUAGAUUAUUUUGAAUAAUACGUUGACAACCUGUUUGCUGCAUCGGAGGCUCUGAAGCACAAGGGACGCAAGACCACUGAAUUUUAGGAUGUUAAAAUAAUUGAGUCCGAUGGGACAAUCAAGAAAAUUCAUUUAAGUGUGAGAGAGGCUAUGAAGCCACCUAACGAUAGAAAUAUCGUACUCAGGUUCAACGAUAGACUGCAACCAGCUGGAAAUGAAGCUGGUAUACUAAGCGGCGUUGUCGGAAUGCUAGGAUUUGACUACACCAAAUUCCCAAUCUGCGAGAAGGACUGGAGAAAGGUUCGCUCUAGGGACAAGAUCUAUACUGAAUGCGUAAAGAAAUUGUUCCAUUUUGAAAAAGAUAGUGGAGGAAUGAUCAAGCGUACAAUAUUAAAAAUGAUAGGAAGGGCUUGGAAGGACACAAGGAACUAUUUGUAUCAUCACUUUUACAAAUCAAAUUUGACUCUUGAACAAAAUAUUAAAGGCCGUCCACCGGAAAUUACUGCGGAUCAUUAGAAAUGGUUCCUUGAUUAUCCCAACAGUGAAGAAAAUAAGGAGAAGUGUAGGAAAAUGCUGAGAAUCGAUCGAAGCAGUUAUACACUCAUACUGGCAAAUCGAAAAGCUUGGCAAGGCUCAGAGAAGAAAAGUCGGAACGACAAGGGCGUCCAGUUAGUAAGGGGGAGUUGUUUGUCUUAAUCCACAAACGAUCUAAUGGAUCUUAUUUCCAUGAUGCAGCUUGGGCUAUUGAUAAAGAAUUGCGGAGAUUGAGCAACAUGAUGAAUCAUCUAGACUAUUGUUUCAGAAUGAUUCACUUGCUCAAGCUCUUGGAAAGGAGCCCCCAGGUAGAGUGCGUGGCAUGAAAAUCAGACCGACUACUAGUCAAGUGUUCGGUACGAAUUCACCUCAGUCAAGCACUGAAACUCAAAGGGAGGAGACCCAAAGAGUGUUGCUCAAACUACAAGCAGAGCUGGCAGCUGAGAAAUUAAAAAGGAAGGCAACGGAGGACAAAGUAGCAGCCGAGAAGACAAAAAUGCAGGCAAUAGAGAGUGCUCUGAUGUGUCUAAUUCAAGGGCAAGGUAGGGAGCUGCCACCAGACGUGGCUGCAUGGAUGCAUUCAUUGGAGGGAUAGAGUAGAGAGUAGAACUAAGGAUUUGAAAUUUAUUCUUUAAGUUAAGUAUACACUUUUUUAUUGUUGAUUAUGCAACUCUUAAUAAGGAAUACACUUUAUUGAUAUUUGGAAUAAUGAAUAUUUUUAUUAGUUUUGCCAA